UACAGAGGGGGCAAGCGUUGUUCGGAAUUACUGGGCGUAAAGCGCGCGUAGGCGGCUUUGUAAGUUAGAGGUGAAAGCCCGGGGCUCAACCCCGGAACUGCCUUUAAAACUGCAUCGCUUGAAUCCGGGAGAGGUGAGUGGAAUUCCGAGUGUAGAGGUGAAAUUCGUAGAUAUUCGGAAGAACACCAGUGGCGAAGGCGGCUCACUGGACCGGCAUUGACGCUGAGGUGCGAAAGCGUGGGGAGCAAACAGG
rnacentral:rRNA from 1 species